GCGCAGGUAGACCCGUAGGGGGCGGGGGCAGACUGUAAAUCUGCUGUCUUUUAGGCCUCGUGAGUUCGACUCUCACCCUGCGCACCA
rnacentral:tRNA from 1 species